AAAUGGGAUGGGGACAGGCACAAGGGGAUACGUUUUGGGGGCAGAACAGGGCUGGUGGCAGGAUACUGAUGGUGGAUUUGGGGAUAUCCUGGCUGAGCUUGUCCUCACUGGGGGUGUCAGACCCUCCCGGCUCCCAUGUCCCCACCACCAAUGCUGCCAGCACAGGGGGGUGCCAGGAGGGAGAAGCCCCAGGAGAUGCCAAGCAGCAACGCCCCCAACACUUAACCACGGGGGCAUCGUGUCCCCAUUCCCAUGGCCACAAUGCCCAGGCCCCCAUUGGGACCCUCGUGGGCCUGGUGGAAGCCAACCCCACUCCACAGCCCAUGGGAGAAGGUGCUGGUGCCUCGCUGGAGCUGGGAUCUGGGCCGAUGCCGCAUCUCCCGGCGCUUGCCAAGCACCCGGCCGGGCGGAGGGCGCGGAACUCCUUCGCCUUAGGGAAAAGCUCUCCUGGUUUUCAUCAUCCCAGGGAUGGCUCCACCGUCACCACCGAAACGCGGCUGCAUGUGGGGUGAGCGUGGCCCCAUGGCUUGGAUGGGAACCCUGGGAUAGAGACCCCGAGGUGGGGACCUCGGGACAGGCGGCUUGGCUGCACACAGAUGGUGGUGAGCACCCACUCUGGUGCUCUGCAGAGCACAUGGGGGAUGCAGAGGGACCACAACCCCAGGGUCUCGCUGCCUUUCCUCCCCUGUGCCUGCCUGAGAAGCGCUGGGGGCCGUCCCCGUGGCUGUGGGGCAGGGGAUGCUCCGUGCUGGGGACACCCCAGCGCUGGCUCUGGGGCCAGGGUGGUGGCCAUGGACUCCCCGGCUGCCUCGUAGGCGCCGCGCUGCAGCCACAGGAGCUCUCCGGGGCAGGGAGCAGUUUUCCCAUGUAGAGCUCCCUGCACUGGCCGGACCGAUCCCAGUCCCGAACCCAGUCUCCCCAUCCUGGCUGUGCCGCCACAGGAAAACAGGGACCCCAUGGUGGGGACGCUGGCCUGAGUGUCCCCCGGUCCCCAGGAAGGAUGUGUUGGGAAGCAUCCCUGUGCUCCGGGGUCUCCUCCCAGUGCUCCAGGCACUGGUGGUUCAGGAGGUCCCCGGUACCGGUUGCUGUGGCUCCUCUCCCACUCAUUCCCAGUGUGGCCUCUUCCCCCCGCCGUCCCCAUGGAGGGCUGCAGCAUGGAAGGACGUGGGA
rnacentral:lncRNA from 14 species